CCAAUAGCGUAUAUUAAAGUUGUUGCAGUUAAAAAGCUCGUAGUUGAAUUUCGAGAUCAAAUUGUUGGUCGUGCCUCGGUACGUACUGGCAUUAUUGAUUUCUCCCUUCUGAAGAACCACGAUGUCAUUAAUUUGGUGUCGUGGGGAAUCAGGACUGUUACUUUGAAAAAAUUAGAGUGUUUAAAGCAGGCUCACGCUUGAAUACAUUAGCAUGGAAUAAUGAAAUAGGACGUUUGAUUCUAUUUUGUUGGUUUCUAGGAUCGACGUAAUGAUUAAUAGGGAUAGUUGGGGGCAUUAGUAUUCAAUUGUCAGAGGUGAAAUUCUUGGAUUUAUUGAAGACUAACUACUGCGAAAGCAUUUGCCAAGGAUGUUUUCAUUAAUCAAGAACGAAAGUUAGGGGAUCGAAGACGAUCAGAUACCGUCGUAGUCUUAACCAUAAACUAUGCCGACUAGGGAUCGGAUGAUGUUAAUUUUUUAAUGACUCAUUCGGCGCCUUACG
rnacentral:rRNA from 1 species